UUGACCCUGCCGUGUUCGUGAUGGGGGAAAGCAUUUUGACCCAGUACUAAUGUACCGGGAGUCCUGCCCCACGGUGGUGAGCUAUUCCUCUCGGGGAGUUCGGCCUAAAGCCAUGGACGUGGACGCCCACCUGGCGAAAGCUGGGUUCAAAGCGAACCUCACACGGCACAAGGCGGGGUCAUU
rnacentral:other from 1 species